rnacentral:rRNA from 1 species
GUGGAUUAGAUACCCUGGUAGUCCACGCCCUAAACGAUGUCUACUAGUUGUCGGGUCUUAAUUGACUUGGUAACGCAGCUAACGCGUGAAGUAGACCGCCUGGGGAGUACGGUCGCAAGAUUAAAACUCAAAGGAAUUGACGGGGACCCGCACAAGCGGUGGAUGAUGUGGAUUAAUUCGAUGCAACGCGAAAAACCUUACCUACCCUUGACAUGGUCGGAAUCCUGCUGAGAGGCGGGAGUGCUCGAAAGAGAACCGGCGCACAGGUGCUGCACGGUCGUCGUCAGCU